GACGAACGCUGGCGGCGUGCUUAACACAUGCAAGUCGAACGGAAAGGCCCUGCUUUUGUGGGGUGCUCGAGUGGCGAAGGGGUGAGUAACACGUGAGUAACCUGCCCUUGACUUUGGGAGAACUUCAGGAAACUGGGGCUAAUAUCGGAUAGGAGCUCCUGCUGCAUGGUGGGGGUUGGAAAGUUUCGGCGGUUGGGGAUGGACUCGCGGCUUACCAGCUUGUUGGUGGGGUAGGGGCUUACCAAGGCUUUGACGGGUAGCCGGCCUGAGAGGGUGACCGGCCACAUGGGGACUGCGGGACGGACCAGACUCCUACGGGAGGCAACGGUGGGGAAUAUUGCACAGUGGGCGGAAGCCUGAUACGACGGCGCCGCGUGCGGGAUGACGGCCUUCGGGUUAUAAACCGCUUUCGCCUGUGACGAAGCGUGAGUGACGGUAAUGAGUAAAGAAGCACCGGCUAACUACGUG
rnacentral:rRNA from 1 species